rnacentral:rRNA from 1 species
GAAGUCGGCGGGUCGUCCAUGUCGUCCGCCGCGCGGACGCAGAAGGUGGCCGACCUCAGCCUCAGCUUCCCUGAGGAGAUGCCCGUCGUCGUCCUCUCCUCCAUGGGCAAUACCACCAACAACCUCCUCCUGGUACUACUGCUCUACCAUUUCCCGCUCCAGCGACAAUUCGGUAGCUUCUUUCCGUGCUGA